UGGAUCCAGACUUUGAUUCUGGCUCAGGAUGAACGCUAGCUACAGGCUUAACACAUGCAAGUCGAGGGGAAACGAUAUUGGAAGCUUGCUUCCGAUAGGCGUCGACCGGCGCACGGGUGAGUAACGCGUAUCCAACCUGCCCAUCACUUGGGGAUAACCUUGCGAAAGUAAGACUAAUACCCAAUGAUAUCUCAAGAAGACAUCUGAAUGAGAUUAAAGAUUUAUCGGUGAUGGAUGGGGAUGCGUCUGAUUAGCUUGUUGGCGGGGUAACGGCCCACCAAGGCGACGAUCAGUAGGGGUUCUGAGAGGAAGGUCCCCCACAUUGGAACUGAGACACGGUCCAAACUCCUACGGGAGGCAGCAGUGAGGAAUAUUGGUCAAUGGGCGAGAGCCUGAACCAGCCAAGUAGCGUGCAGGAUGACGGCCCUAUGGGUUGUAAACUGCUUUUAUAAGGGAAUAAAGUGAGCCUCGUGAGGCUUUUUGCAUGUACCUUAUGAAUAAGGACCGGCUAAUUCCGUGCCAGCAGCCGCGGUAAUACGGAAGGUCCGGGCGUUAUCCGGAUUUAUUGGGUUUAAAGGGAGCGUAGGCCGGAGAUUAAGCGUGUUGUGAAAUGUAGAUGCUCAACGUCUGCACUGCAGCGCGAACUGGUUUCCUUGAGUACGCACAAAGUGGGCGGAAUUCGUGGUGUAGCGGUGAAAUGCUUAGAUAUCACGAAGAACUCCGAUUGCGAAGGCAGCUCACUGGAGCGCAACUGACGCUGAAGCUCGAAAGUGCGGGUAUCGAACAGGAUUAGAUACCCUGGUAGUCCGCACGGUAAACGAUGGAUGCCCGCUGUCGGUCUGAA
rnacentral:rRNA from 1 species